AUCCAUGGCUGGACCGACCUGAAUGCGCCUGGUCUCAGAAGCUAAGCAGGGUUGGCUUGGUCAGUACUUGGAUGGGAGACCACUGGGGAGACCCGGUGCUGUAGACU
ensembl:rRNA 5S_rRNA 5S ribosomal RNA